GCGAACGCUGGCGGCGUGCUUAACACAUGCAAGUCGAGCGAGAAAGUCCCGCAAGGGAUGAGUACAGCGGCGAACGGGUGCGUAACACGUGGGUCAUCUGUCCUUGAGACCGGAAUAACCCAGCGAAAGUUGGGCUAAUGCCGGAUAAGACCACGAGCAGAAAUGUUUGAGGUCAAAGGGUGCUUCUUCUAGGAGCAUUCACUCAGGGAGGAACCCGCGGCCUAUCAGCUAGUUGGUAGGGUAACGGCCUACCAAGGCAAAGACGGGUAGCUGGUCUGAGAGGAUGACCAGCCACACGGGGACUGAGACACGGCCCCGACUCCUACGGGAGGCAGGCAGUGGGGAAUAUUGGGCAAUGGGGGAAACCCUGACCCAGCGAACGCCGCGUGGGUGAUGAAGGCCUUCGGGUCGUAAAGCCCUGUCGGGAGGAACGAAUGACCUCGUCGC
rnacentral:rRNA from 1 species